GGAUAUGAAGGCAGUCUGGCUGUGACAUGCAUGCGUCCCCACUGGUCUCUAGGGUUGACUCUGUAGCUCUGGCUAGCUAGGCAAUGUCCUCUUCUUCCCUCCAUCUCCAUGUCAGUCCUGAAGCUUGUACACCCUCUGUGUGGAAGACGAAUAUGCUCCCCAAUAGGGGAGGACAAAGGUACAGAGAAGUUGCAUUCCCUGCCAGAACCACCAAACAAGUUCUCAAGAAAGGAACUCUAAGGACUGGGAGUACAGCUCAACGGCAGA
rfam:Fukomys damarensis contig75277, whole genome shotgun sequence.